AGUGGAUUUGUUGGGUUGUAUGGUAAGUAUCUGUUUAACUUUUUAAGAAACUGCCAAACUUUUUCCAAAGUGGUUGUACCAUUUUACAUUCCCACCAGCAAU
rnacentral:pre_miRNA from 1 species